rnacentral:rRNA from 1 species
GGAAUAUUGCGCAAUGGGCGAAAGCCUGACGCAGCAACGCCGCGUGGAGGAUGAAGGCCUUCUGGUCGUAAACUCCUGUCAGAAGGGACGAACAGAUUUGGGCAAAUAGUCCAGAUUGCUGACGGUACCUUCGGAGGAAGCCCCGGCCAACUCCGUGCCAGCAGCCGCGGUAAUACGGAGGGGGCAAGCGUUAUUCGGAAUUAUUGGGCGUAAAGCGCACGUAGGCGGCCUGGCAAGUCAAAGGUGAAAUCCCUCGGCUCAACCGAGGAACUGCCUUUGAAACUGCCUGGCUUGAGGCCGGGAGGGGGUAGCGGAAUUCCCAGUGUAGCGGUGAAAUGCGUAGAUAUUGGGAGGAACACCGGUGGCGAAGGCGGCUACCUGGACCGGUUCUGACGCUGAGGUGCGAAAGCGUGGGGAGCAAAC